rfam:Erinaceus europaeus unplaced genomic scaffold scaffold00114, whole genome shotgun sequence
GGCUAUGAGGGUGAUCUGGCUGUAACAUCUGUCACACCAUUGAUCACCAGGUUUGAUUCAACUGAUCUGGCUGGCUGGAUGGUUGUCCUCUUCCUCCCUUGUAACUCCAUGCAUGUGUCCCUUUGAAGAUGCAUGCUGGGUCAGAGGACAUCCUUCCCUAAAUAGAGAUGGACCCAUCUUCAAUCGAGGGUGUACAAGUCGCUACACUCCCCAGCUAGAACCUACAAGCAAGUUUUAGUAGCGAAGUUUAAUGAAAAGAGGAAGGUUAAGGUAUUCUAAGACAAUAGGAAUAAUAUUUUUUAUUAUUUAUU